CUACGGGACGCACCAGUGGGGAAUAUUGCACAAUGGGCGCAAGCCUGAUGCAGCCAUGCCGCGUGUAUGAAGAAGGCCUUCGGGUUGUAAAGUACUUUCAGCGGGGAGGAAGGGAGUAAAGUUAAUACCUUUGCUCAUUGACGUUACCCGCAGAAGAAGCACCGGCUAACUCCGUGCCAGCAGCCGCGGUAAUACAGAGGGUGCAAGCGUUAAUCGGAAUUACUGGGCGUAAAGCGCACGCAGGCGGUUUGUUAAGUCAGAUGUGAAAUCCCCGGGCUCAACCUGGGAACUGCAUCUGAUACUGGCAAGCUUGAGGCUCGUAGAGGGGGGUAGAAUUCCAGGUGUAGCGGUGAAAUGCGUAGAGAUCUGGAGGAAUACCGGUGGCGAAGGCGGCCCCCUGGACGAAGACUGACGCUCAGGUGCGAAAGCGUGGGGAGCAAACAGGAUUAGAUACCCUAGUAGUC
rnacentral:rRNA from 1 species